rnacentral:rRNA from 1 species
AAACCAACAGGGAUUGCCUUAGUAACGGCGAGUGAAGCGGCAAGAGCUCAAAUUUGAAAUCUGGUACCUUCGGUGCCCGAGUUGUAAUUUGAAGAAGGUAUACUUUAGUUUGGCCCCCGUCUAUGUUCCUUGGAACAGGACGUCAUAGAGGGUGAGAAUCCCGUGCGAUGGGGUGUCCAUUCUUUGUAAGUUUCCUUCGACGAGUCGAGUUGUUUGGGAAUGCAGCUCUAAGUGGGUGGUAAAUUCCAUCUAAAGCUAAAUAUUGGCGAGAGACCGAUAGCGAACAAGUACAGUGAUGGAAAGAUGAAAAGAACUUUGAAAAGAGAGUGAAAAAGUACGUGAAAUUGUUGAAAGGGAAGGGUAUUUGAUCAGACUUGGUAUUAGAAUAUGGCAGCUCUCGGGUUGUCCUCUAUUCUUUUACUGGGCCAGCAUCGGUUCGGAUGGCAAGAUAAUUACGUUUGAAUGUAGCUCCUUUGGAGUGUUAUAGCUUUCGUGGAUAUUGCCUGUCUGGACCGAGGACUGCGUCUUUUGACUAGGAUGCUGGCGUAAUGAUUAAAUACCGC